AUUAAUAGGAGAGAGGAAGUUUCUUCCCCAUGAAACGACUCCGGCGGCGUUUCCAAGCCGAUGAAACGCAGUUGAAAUGUGCACUGAGAGCUCCCAGCGUUUCAUGGCGGAUCCGCUGUGCCUCCCGUGCUCCCACUUCCCGCGAUCUUUCUCCGCGCGCCAAAUCCUCCCGUCUGCUCCCGCCAAAGCCAAUCGGCAUCCCCACAAAUCGGCCUCCCUCCCUUGCUUCCUCCGCCGCCGCCGCCCUUCCUCCCGCCGCCUGCUAGCGCCGGUGCCGAGCAUCCGAGCGGGUGAGAUGUCGAAGGUCUUCCCCAGCCCGACGGUGGCUCGGCAAAUAGCGGCGGCGACUUGGUGAAGGGCCGCGGCGGCGGUGACUCUUGUCCUCCGACGGCCUCCCCCACAUGGCCUGGACGCAGCUCGCCUCCCGCUGCCGCCCACCUCACCUCACCUCCCUCUGGCGCAGAUUGGGGAAGGCAUCGUCGAGUGCGAGCUACUGCACUGGUUCGUCGCUGAGGGUGACCAAGUAGAUGAAUUCCAGCCACUCUGCGAAGUAGAGAGCGACAAAGCAACUAUCGAGAUGUUUCAGUUUUGCUUGCUGGCUUGCUGUUGUCUCACUGGAGGAAGGAUCUAUUAUGUUCAGAGUGAAAGUUUUUGUUAGUUGCUGCCUCUAAACAAUAUUGGCUUGCUUUAAAAAAAUGCUUUCUGCUUCCUGAGAACUAUACUGAGAUGUUUCAGUUAGAAUUGUAGUGCCUAAAUUCCAGAACUCGUAGAACAAUACUGAGAUAUUUCUAUGUGAAUUCAAGUCUGAAUGUUUCAAUUCCGUUCAAGUGUGAGUAUUGUCACUGAUAUCCGUGUGUGAAAGCUUGAUGUAUGUGUGUGUCAAAGCGUGUAUCUGCUGGGUGUGUUUGUCAUCUCUCUAAAAUUUCUAGUGUGAAUGCAACCUACAAGAUCUUUGAAUAUUCA